GAUCAUGGCUCAGAACGAACGCUGGCGGCAGGCCUAAGUCAUGCAAGUUGAACGGCUGUAGCAAUACAGCAGUAGCGGACGGGUGAGUAAUGUAUGGGAACGUAUCUUCUAGUGGGGAAUAUUCUUUGGAGACGAAGAGCAAUACCGCAUGAGUCCUACGGGAGAAAGUCGCAAGACGCUAGAUGAGCGGCCCAUAUUGGAUUAGCUAGUUGGUUAGGUAAUGGCUGACCAAGGCAACGAUCCAUAGCUGGUCUAAGAGGACGAUCAGCCACAUUGGGACUGAGACACGGCCCAGACUCCUACGGGAGGCAGCAGUCAGGAAUAUUGGACAAUGGGGGCAACCCUGAUCCCAGCCAUGCCGCGUGAGUGUUAAGGUCUUCGGAUUGUAAAGCUCUUUUGUGUGGGAAAAUGAUGAUGGUACCACAAGAAUAAGCACCGGCUAACUUCGUGCCAGCCGCCGC
rnacentral:rRNA from 1 species